GUUCUGUAAACACCUCUACCUGAGUCAAUCACUCAGUUCUCAUGCUCAGGAACGCUGUGAAAAUGCCAAAAAGUAAACUUUUGGAGGCAGCGAGGAAUGGACUUAAAUAUGAAAAGUAGACACAACAUUUAAUUCAGUCAUAUUCUGUGGAAAGAUGCUGAUGCAAAAUGUUAAAAUGGAAUGAAGGACAUGCAACUCGACUGCUUUACUGAAAGAUGGCGCAAGACAUUUGUACAAUACGAAACUGUUGCAGUGACAUCUGCUGGUCAGGGUGCCGUAGGAGAAUGCAAUGGCGUUGGGAGGAGUUGCUACAGGAAGCAUGAAGGCCAUUGAAGCAGAAAUAGUGCAGGGCAGCAUGACAUACAGUGGAUGGAGCUUUAUAGCUGUAGCCUGAAUACAGACAAUACACAAAGGGCCAGUUUUGAAUCUGGAUUCAUAGAAUCUUACCAUGGAAGCAAGGAUAGGAAGAAAGAGUGUGGUUGUGGCUGUGUUGCUGGAGCAUUCAGUGAACGUUCCCACCAGUAGACAGAGCAGCAGUGAAAUGGCAAAGGGUGGAAUGCUUUUUAGUGGGGCCAAACUCUCACCCAACCACAGCGACAGCCCAGAAACCUUUGCAACAACAAUAACAUUACUAUGUCAUUAAUAUGCUUUUAUAUACCUAAAAGUACUUUUUAAAAUGUGUUAAAAAUGACAUGGACCACUGAUGCCACUUGACCAUGUUUAAU